rnacentral:rRNA from 1 species
UACGUAGGGUGCGAGCGUUGUCCGGAAUUAUUGGGCGUAAAGAGCUCGUAGGCGGUGUGUCACGUCGGCCGUGAAAACCUGCAGCUUAACUGUGGGCGUGCGGUCGAUACGGGCAUCACUGGAGUUCGGCAGGGGAGACUGGAAUUCCUGGUGUAGCGGUGAAAUGCGCAGAUAUCGUAAGGAAGACCAGUGGCGAAGGCGGGUCUCUGGGCCUUACCUGACGCUGAGGCGCGAAAGCUAGGGGAGCGAACAGG